CCUACGGGCGGCAGCAGUGGGGAAUAUUGGGCAAUGGGCGCAAGCCUGACCCAGCAACGCCGCGUGAAGGAAGAAGGCUUUCGGGUUGUAAACUUCUUUUCGCAGGGACGAAGCAAGUGACGGUACCUGAGGAAUAAGCCACGGCUAACUACGGGCCAGCAGCCGCGGGAAUACGUAGGUGGCAAGCGUUAUCCGGAUUUACUGGGUGUAAAGGGCGUGUAGGCGGGAAAGCAAGUCAGAUGUGAAAACCAUGGGCUCAACCUGUGGCCUGCAUUUGAAACUGUUUUUCUUGAGUACUGGAGAGGCAGCCGGAAUUCCUAGUGUAGCGGUGAAAUGCGUAGCUAUUAGGAGGAACACCAGUGGCGAAGGCGGUCUGCUGGACAGCACCUGACGCUGUGGCGCGAAAGCGUGGGGAGCAAACAGGAUUAGAUACCCGUGUAGUC
rnacentral:rRNA from 1 species